rnacentral:lncRNA from 1 species
UAUUGCAGAAAGCAAAAUCCAAGGGCAGAGAGAGUAGCAAUCAUGAGAGUGCACUUUGUGAUAUGGUUGUAGUGAAUAGCAAGAAAGUGCAAAUAUUUGACUGAAUGUGUAUGUUUAACUGCCUCCAGAAACCAUCUACCAUCUAAGAAUAAUCAAAGAAUCCCUCACUCAUCUUCUAGGCCUUCAGUAAACAGAUGAGGACCAUGUCUGGCUGCUCACCACCCAGUGUCGGGACGUGCAGGGCAGCCGCCAUAUUAGGAGCCAAUGAACUUUUAACAACCGUAUAUGAAUGAUCACCAUGUACAGUAUAUAUUUAUUGGCAAAAUGUGUGCUAUGUACAUAUUUGCAUAUAUACUGUAUAUAUAUGCAAAGUACAAGACUAUUUGUCACAGGUUUUUAGUUCUUUCAGCUCCUCAGAUGGCAGGCAGGAAUCAUGGAUGCAGUGUGCAUUUCCUCUCCGUAUCACCACAUUAAGGUGAUGGAAGAGGAAGCUGGCAGCUCUAGGGUCUCUUCUUGUUUCAAUUAGCUUAGAACCCAGAUUCUUCAUAACACAAGUGGCACUUUUACCCCAGGCAUGAAGCUUGUCUGAGGCAAUGGGGACAAAAUUGUAGUGGUGAUCUAGAUCUCUGUAUUUACGAGAUAUAUAUUAGUACCUGUACAGUAUGAAUAAAUACAUGGUGUGCAUAUAUUUAUACAUAUAUAUCUGGUACAUACUGUACAUAUAUUUUUAAAAUUCAAGAUAAUGAACACCAUCUUUGACACAUCAGUACAACUGGCUAGAACAAAAACUAAAUAAAUAAAGUGAAAAACAAUGAAAUUGACAAAGGUACUCCCGUGCACCACCUCACCUCAUUUCAUCCGAAAAAAUACAAGUUCUCUGAGUCACUACAGCUAAGCUACAAAAUGUAGAGACUGUUUACUUGAAUUUUUGUGCUUAACAAUGUCAAAAGAAAAAAAAUCAUUCCAGAAUUUUUUUUUUUUCACACCAUGAGGGUUGUCACAUUUAACAGGUGCGCAGUGCAGGGUUUAAAUUAUUGUGAACUGGAUCCCAAUUCUGAGACUCCGCAUGAAUCAAACUCGGGGAACUUUAAAUCUUAUGCGGUAAGUUAUUUGAGAUCUCAUUCGGGGUAAAAUUUGAUUGGUAUACAGAACAUCUGAAAGACUUCAUUGUUGUUUACAUUAAUAUGUGACUUACCAAGGUAUAUUAUGAUCUCUGGUAGGAAUGUACUGUUGUUUAUAAUGAGUGAGAGACUAAUGUCUUAUCUGAUCACCUGCACAGUUAGAAACAUAUUGAAGUCUUGGAAUAUCUUCAGUUAAACUUCGGUAUAUCUAAACCUUUGAGUUCUAUAAUAUUAUGAAAGAUUUAAAUGAUACCAUUUUAUUCAUGCUUCUACAAAUUCUUAACUCAAUGACUUUGAUUAGUAUAUCUCGCCUCAAAUACAUGUGAGGGUCUCUGUAACUACAUAAAUUUGAUCACCAGGUGAUUAAAUUAAAAACAGAUUUCAUAAGUACCGGAUCAUCUGUUACUUAAGAAAUCAUAAGUAACCGAUGAUCUAUUUGAAGAGAUUGUUUAUCAUAAGAUUAGCUUCAGAUAAGUUGCAACAAAUGUAACAGGAAAGUUUCUGUUGAGCAGGAAUAUCUAAUUUCCAUGUACAGUACAUUAAAAUAUCUAAUGUCCAUGUACUUUACUGUUGGUAAAAAAAAAAGAUGUACAAAUG